rnacentral:rRNA from 1 species
CCUACGGGGCGCAGCAGUGAGGAAUAUUGGUCAAUGGUCGGGAGACUGAACCAGCCAAGCCGCGUGGGGGAGGAAGGUACAGAGUAUCGUAAACCUCUUUUGUCAGGGAACAAAGACUGGGACGCGUCCCCGGAUGAGUGUACCUGAAGAAAAAGCAUCGGCUAACUCCGUGCCAGCAGCCGCGGUAGUACGGAGGAUGCGAGCGUUAUCCGGAUUUAUUGGGUUUAAAGGGUGCGUAGGCGGUUUUUUAAGUUAGUGGUUAAACGUCGGGGCUUCACCUUGAUUUGCCAUUAAUACUGUAAGAC